AUGCCAUGAUGGGGGCACUUCCGUAAUAACUUCUUGAACAGCUCCCAUGCCUCAUAUAAAGUUUCUUCAUCAAGCUAUUGAAUUGAAGUGAUUUCAUUUCGAAUCUU
rfam:Gossypium arboreum cultivar AKA8401 contig_12085_1, whole genome shotgun sequence.